GACGAACGCUGGCGGCGUGCUUAACACAUGCAAGUCGAACGGAAAGGCUCCAGCUUGCUGGAGUACUCGAGUGGCGAACGGGUGAGUAACACGUGGGUAAUCUGCCCUGCACUCUGGGAUAAGCCUGGGAAACUGGGUCUAAUACUGGAUAUGACCUUUCUCCUUAUGGGGUUUGGUGGAAAGUUUUUCGGUGUAGGAUGAGCCCGCGGCCUAUCAGCUUGUUGGUGGGGUGAUGGCCUACCAAGGCGACGACGGGUAGCCGGCCUGAGAGGGUGAUCGGCCACAUUGGGACUGAGAUACGGCCCAGACUCCUACGGGAGGCAGCAGUGGGGAAUAUUGCACAAUGGGCGGAAGCCUGAUGCAGCGACGCCGCGUGCGGGAUGACGGCCUUCGGGUUGUAAACCUCUUUCAGCAGGGACGAAGCGUAAGUGACGGUACCUGCAGAAGAAGCACCGGCUAACUAUGUG
rnacentral:rRNA from 1 species